rnacentral:rRNA from 1 species
CCCGACUGCUAUUUGGGUGAGAAUAAGCCAUGCAAGUCGAAUGGAAUACCAAAAUAUUCCAUGGCAAACUGCUCAAUAACACGUGAUCAACUUACCCUAUGGAAAACAAUAACCUCUGGAAACGGAGGAUAAUGGUUUAUAGUUGAAAAGGCUUGGAAAAGUUUUUCAAUAAAAGGGAAUAAUAAAAAUGGUUAUUAUUUUGCCAUAGGAUAGGAUUGCGGUCGAUUAUGGCUGUUGGUGAGGUAAUGGCUCACCAAACCAAUAAUCGAUAGGGGCCGUGAGAGCGGGAGCCCCGAGAUGGGUACUGAGACAACGACCCAGGCCUUACGAGGUGCAGCAGGCGCGAAAACUCCGCAAUACACGAAAGUGUGACGGGGUUACCCAAAGUGCUUAAUUUUUAAGCUGUGGUAAGUGUGUAAUGUACCUUACUAGAAAGGAGAGGGCAGGCUGGUGCCAGCCGCCGCGGUAAAACCAGCUCUUCAAGUGGUCGGGAUAUUAUUGGGCUUAAAGUGUCCGUAGCUUGUAUAAUAAGUUCCUGGUAAAAUCUAAUAGCUUAACUAUUAGUAUGCUAGGAAUACUGUCAUACUAGAGGGCGGGAGAGGUUUGAGGUACUUCAGGGGUAGGGGUGAAAUCCUAUAAUCCUUGAAGGACCACCAGUGGCGAAGGCGUCAGACUGGAACGCGCCUGACAGUGAGGGACGAAAGCCAGGGGAGCGAACCGGAUUAGAUACCCGGGUAGUCCUGGCCGUAAACGAUGCACACUAGGUGUUGGUAUGGCUAUGAGCCAUAUCAGUGCCGAAGGGAAACCAUUAAGUGUGCCGCCUGGGAAGUACGGUCGCAAGGCUAAAACUUAAAGGAAUUGGCGGGGGAGCACCACAAGGGGUGAAGCCUGCGGUUCA